CGUCCCAGUCACCAGUCCCACCCUCGGCAGCUGCCCCCCUUACGGGUUAGCGCACCGACUUCAGGUGUUGCCAGCUCCCAUGACGUGACGGGCGGUGUGUACAAGGCCCGGGAACGUAUUCACCGCAGUAUAGCUGACCUGCGGUUACUAGCAACUCCGUCUCCACGCAGGCGAGUUGCAGCCUACGAUCUGAACUGAGGACAGCUUUGAGGAUUGGCUCCACCUCGCGGUUUCGCGACCUAUUGUACUGCCCAUUGUAGCGUGUGUGUAGCCCAGGGUAUAAAGGCCAUGCUGACUUGACGUCAUCCCCACCUUCCUCCGGCUUAAGACCGGCAGUCCCGCGUGACACAUGUAACACGCAGCGAGGGUUGCGCUCGUUAGCGGACUUAACCGAACAUCUCACGACACGAGCUGACGACAGCCAUGCAGCACC
rnacentral:rRNA from 1 species